UGGGGAAUAUUGCACAAUGGAGGGAACUCUGAUGCAGCGACGCCGCGCGAACGAAGAAGGCUUUCGAGUCGUAAAGUUCUUUUAUAUGGGAAGAUAAUGACGGUACCAUAAGAAAAAGCCCCGGCUAACUACGUGCCAGCAGCCGCGGUAAUACGUAGGGGGCUAGCGUUGUCCGGAAUCACUGGGCGUAAAGGGUUCGCAGGCGGAAAUGCAAGUCAGGUGUAAAAGGCAGUAGCUUAACUACUGUAAGCAUUUGAAACUGCAUAUCUUGAGAAGAGUAGAGGUAAGUGGAAUUUUUAGGGUAGCGGUGAAAUGCGUAGAUAUUAAAAAGAAUACCGGUGGCGAAGGCGACUUACUGGGAUCAUUAUGACGCUGAGGAACGAAAGCGUGGGUAGCAAACAGG
rnacentral:rRNA from 1 species